rnacentral:rRNA from 1 species
GAUGAACGCUGGCGGCGUGCCUAAUACAUGCAAGUCGAGCGAACAGACGAGGAGCUUGCUCCUCUGACGUUAGCGGCGGACGGGUGAGUAACACGUGGAUAACCUACCUAUAAGACUGGGAUAACUUCGGGAAACCGGAGCUAAUACCGGAUAAUAUAUUGAACCGCAUGGUUCAAUAGUGAAAGACGGUUUUGCUAUCACUUAUAGAUGGAUCCGCGCCGCAUUAGCUAGUUGGUAAGGUAACGGCUUACCAAGGCAACGAUGCGUAGCCGACCUGAGAGGGUGAUCGGCCACACUGGAACUGAGACACGGUCCAGACUCUUACGGGAGGCAGCAGUAGGGAAUCUUCCGCAAUGGGCGAAAGCCUGACGGAGCAACGCCGCGUGAGUGAUGAAGGUCUUCGGAUCGUAAAACUCUGUUAUUAGGGAAGAACAAAUGUGUAAGUAACUAUGCACGUCUUGACGGUACCUAAUCAGAAAGCCACGGCUAACUACGUG